UACGAGUGCCCCAAGCGUUAUCCGGAUUCACUGGGUUUAAAGGGUGCGUAGGCGGGUAAGUAAGUCCGUGGUGAAAUCUCUGAGCUUAACUCAGAAACUGCCGUGGAUACUAUUUGCCUUGAAUAUUGUGGAGGUGAGCGGAAUAUGUCAUGUAGCGGUGAAAUGCUUAGAUAUGACAUAGAACACCAAAUGCGAAGGCAGCUCACUACACAAUCAUUGACGCUGAGGCACGAAAGCGUGGGGAUCAAACAGG
rnacentral:rRNA from 1 species